GUAUAAGAGUGAUUGGCGUCCGUACGUACCCUCUCAACUCUAAAACUCUUGUAGUUUAAAUCUAA
rnacentral:misc_RNA from 1 species